AGGUUCAUUCUAAGCUUAAAACUAAUUUCAGAUGGCUAGAUUUUAAUGAUGGGGUACGAGACAGCAUGAGGUAAGGUUAUGGGUGGAUCUGUUACCUUGAGCGCGGAAAAUAUAUUGAAAAGAUUCAAAUCUCAACCGGUUCACGGGAUGCAGGGUAUCCACAACCACCAAGGAGAGCAGCACCGCAAUGAUAGGCUUCAAGAUGGGGAAGAGGAAGCCAAGAGUCACAGGAAGAAAGAAGUCGAAGACGGAUCCGUCCGCGAGGAAGAGGCGACGACGAUCCCAAAAGGAGGGAUUCAAGAUAGAAGCAUAGGUUAAACCUUCCAAAGUUUUUUCCCCCUUUUUUCUUCUUCUCAUGUUAGAUUUAUACAUGACGCCACCAGGUUGAAUAUGGUUGUUGGUUUGUUUUGAAUGGUUGUAGGAUAAAGAUAUAUCUGAAUUGAUUUGUUGGGAUAUGGUUGUAGGUUUGUUUUGAGUGGUUGUAGGAUAAGAAUAUAUUUGAAUUGAUUUGUUGGGAUAUGCUUGUAGGUUUGUUUUGAGUGGCUGUAGGAUAAGGAUAUAUUUGAAGUAGUUUGUUGGGGUAUGGUUGUCGGUUUGAUUUGAUUUAGGAUAACCUAACUAUCCGAUCCCAAUAAAUGAAACCAGGAUAGAACACACUCAAAAUAAAAUAAAAUAAAAUAAAAGUAGUGACUCGAUGCACUGCAUCAGUUCUCCUUAGGUGGGUGAAUUCUCGACCCCGUCGAGAGAGCUUCCAUAUAGCUGUGGAAUAGAUCUCUCCGAUAUCGACGUAGCUCGAUCUCAGAAAUCCAGCUGCUAUCAAUACUUGGAUGCCCACGCCAUCGUACUAAGUACCAGCGGUGUGAACUCCGUCGUGUCCCUAUUUCACGUACAUCCAAAAUCUCUUCUACGUCCUCAGAUGUGAUCUCUGCGGCUGCAUAGAAGGGUAGGAUCUCGACAUCGGUAGAAGAGGAUGACUCACCAUGAUAUUGGAACAGAUCACUCACAUUGAAAACCGGAGAAGUAGACAAUCCUGGGGGCAAGUCAAUGAGAUAGGCAUUCUUCUCCAGCUUCUUAAGGAUCUUGAAUAGCCCAAAUUUCUUCCUACUUAGCUUGUUGUAACCUCCAACUGGAAAUUGCUCCUUCUUGAAAUAGAUCAGAACACUAUUUUCCUUAUUAAAAUCCGUAUCCCGACGGUAUUGGUCCGCAGCUGCCUUGUAUUUGGUUGUGGAAUCCUGCAGCUUUUUGUGAACUUGUUGUUGCACGUCUUGAACCUGUUUCAAGUAGACUUCGGCAUCUGCACUAACUCUACCAGGGUAUGGAAUGGAUACUCGAUCAAGAAAAUGGGGUAUAGAUCACCAUAGAGGGCCUCAAAUAGAGAUUUUUCUGUGGUUCUAUUGAUGGAACUAUUAUAUGCAAACUCAGCCUGUGGUAAGAUUAAGUCCCAUUGUGUCGGUCUCUCACCUGCCAAGCAUCUUAAAAGAUUGCCUAAAGAUAGAUUUACCAUCUCAGUUUGUCCGUCAGUUUGGGGGUGGUAUGGGCUGCUAAAAUUUAAUUUACUUCCAACUUUGGCCAUUAGAGUUCUCCAAAAAAUGACUUAUAAAUUUGGUAUCUCUAUCUGAUGUGAUGGACCUAGGAAUUUCAUGCAGACGCACAAUUUCAUUGAAAAAUAAUUUUGCAAUAUGCGAUGCAUCAGAGAUCUUUUUGCAAGGAAUAAAAUGAGCCAUUUUAGUGAAUCGAUCAACAACCACAAAUAUUGAGUCAACAUAUCGUGCAGUUUUAGGUAGGCCAAGAAUAAAGUCCAUAGAAACAUCUUCUCAAGGGGUGAACGGAAUGGAGAGAGGAGUAUAUAAACCUGUGUUUUGUGAGUGACUAUUGAAGGUUUGGCAGGUUCUACAGCGUCGUACAAAUCGCUCUACGUCUCUUUGCAUAUUCGACCAAUAGUAGCGCUCUUGAAUUAACCCCAAGGUCUUAUCCCGCCCGAAAUGCCCCCUAAUCCACUACUGUGUAGGUCUUGAAUCAAAGACUCUCUUAGUGAAUCUUCGGAAAUGCAUAACUUGCACUUCUUAAAAAGGUAUUCAAACUCAAUACAGAAAUCGGAGAAUUGGCUAGUGCUAGAAGACAAACAUUUUUUCAUGAUAGGUCCGAAAUAAGGGUCAUCCUUGCACUGUUCCUUAAUCGCCUCAAGACCCACAAUUUGCAAGGAGGCAGCGAUGAGGAGGUGGGUCCUACGGCUAAAUGCAUCAACAACCCGAUUGGUUACUUUCUGUUUAUGUCUCAAAUUGAAGAUGUAUUCUUGCAGAAAUGCAGUCCAUUUGGCGUGUUUUUUGUUGAAAUUCUUUUAGGAAUUCAAAUAACAUAAUGCUUCAUGAUCCGAGUUAAGUACAAAUUUUCAAUGAAUCAAAUAGGAUCGCCAGUGCUUCAAGACCUGCACAAUCGCAUAGAAUUCGAUAUCAUAUGUAGAAUAAUGUGAUCAAGCAUUGUUCAAUUUCUCACUGAAGUAGGCUAUGGGGCAUUUUUCUUGGGACAACACGGCCCCUAUUCUCACAUGUGAGGCAUCACAAUCAACUUCGAACACCUUAUUAAAAUCAGGUAGGGCGACUAUGGGUAUGCUUGUAAGCUUGUCUUUGAUCACUUUGAAGCUUUGUUCAGCCUUGGAAGUCCAGCGAAACUUAUCUCCCUUCAGACAAUCAGUGAUCGAGGCAAUCAAAGAACUAAAAUUUUGAAUGAAGCAUCGGUAAAAGAAUGCAAGUCCAUGAAAGCUCCGAAUCUCCGUUAAGUUUUUCGAGGUUGGCCAGUUUCGAAUCACGUCAAUCUUAGCCGGAUCUACCUUAAUUCCCUUAGCAGACAAUAUAGCCUAGGAAGAUGAGGUUGUCGGAUAAAAAGAUGCACUUCUUGAUAUUUAAAUAUAAAUGAUUCUCUCUCAAGGCAUGGAGCACCUAUCGUAGAUGGUUCAAAUAAAGUUCAGGAUUUGUGCAAUAUAUCAAAAUAUCGUCAAAGUAAACCACUACAAAUUUUCCAAUGAAUGGCUGAAACACUUGGUUCAUGAUGCGCAUAAAGGUGCUCGAGGCGUUGGACAAUCCGAAAGGCAUAACUAGCCAUUCAUAUAACCCUUCCUUAAUUUUGAAUGCUAUUUUCCACUCGUCUCCAGGUCAAAUAUGGAUCUGAUGAUACCCGCUCUUCAGAUCAACCUUAGAGAAUACCUUUGCACCUCCCAGCAUAUCUAGCAUGUCAUCAAAUCUAGGUAUGGAAAACCUACACUUCACAGUGAUCUUAUUGAUGGCUCGACUAUCAACGCACAUUCACCAUGUCCCAUCUUUUUUUGGAGUAAGGAGGGCAGGCACAGCCACGAGACUCAUACUCUUCCAAAUGGAGCCCUUUCUUAACAAGUCAAGGACCUGUUGACGCAAUUCUUCAUGUUCUGCUGGGCUCAUCCCAUAAUGGGCUAGGUAUGGGAGACUCGUUUUCGGUACCAAGUCAAUGCAAUGCUGGACGUCUCUCAUAGGGGAUAGGCCAUCAGGGAGUUCUUCGGCAUGAUGUCAGAAAACUCGUCCAAUAAUGGUUGAACAACCGACGAAAUUCCAGGGGCUUCGGUGGUUUCUUUUGCCACUGAAGCAUAAACCACAGGGGACCUUGAUAGAGUUUGGACAAAUUGAGUCUUAUUCAAAAUCAUCACAGAUUGUCUCUCAGUGGGUGACAAUUUUAGGGUUGAAUCAGACUUAGGUAUCAGUUUGGGUGUACUAUUAAGUGGAAUCAAUCUAACCUUUUUAUUGUUCUUAGUGACUACAUAGGUGUUUUCCUUCCCAUUAUGCAUGGUGCUACAGUCAAAUUGCCAAGAUCUACCUAAAAGCAGGUAACACACAUCCAUGGGUGCUACAUCGCACCAAACCUCGUCAGUAUAGGUCUUCCCAAUAAAAAACUUAACUAGACAUCGUCGCGUGAUAGGAACCUCAUUCCCAUUUUUAAACCAAGCAAUCCGAUAAGGUUGUGCAAGCUUCUCAGUUUUCAGUUGAAGCUUAUCAACCAUCUCUUGAGAGACGAAAUUCUCCAUACUUCCACUAUCAAUUAUAAUAGAGCAGAAUUUUCCCUCUGCGUUGCAGAUAGUUCGAAAAAGACUGCGUUGUCGCCAAUCAUCCUUGAUAGAUUUAGAUGCUACAAGGACUCGAUUGAUUAUAAAGUUUGGCUUAGUAGUUUUAGCAGUCUCAUCUAGGACCUCACUAUCCUCAACAGUGUCUUCCUCUCGCUCUUCUACUCCUUCAUCCUGAUCACUCUCAUUAACAUUUUCUAUCAAGUUGGUCCUAAGCUGAAAUUGUCUCAAAGGGCAUUCAGAUGAUUUAUGGCCUGAUUGCCUACACUUGUAACAAGUUAUACUAGUUUCCGAGAAUUUGGAACCUAAAAUUCCCUUGCUUUUAGUAUCACCAAUAGGUUUCGGAGGAAGUUGGAUGUCAUUUUUCAGGGCUGAUUUGGUUCCUAUAAAAAACUUUCCACUAAUGUUACCUUGUCGGAAUGUCUGUCUCUUCAACUUAGACUCGGCCUUAAGUGCGUGACUAUAGACCGCAUCUAUUCGCUGAAAAUUGCAAAAGAUUAAUUCAGCCUGAAUUUGAGGAUGAAGUCCAGCAAGACAGUGAGCUAUCCGCUGUUCUUCAUCCUCCCUAAGGUCAUUACAAGCCUGAAGGUUAUAGAAUUCCUUAGUGUACUCUUGCACCAUUUUAGACCCUUGCCUAAGGUUGUGAGGCUUUUGAAAUAAAGUUUGUCGGUAAUCGACUGGAAGGAAUUUACUCUUAAGUUUCUCUUUCAUUCGUUCCCAAGUGGCAAUCUUUCCUUUACCCUUUCGAACCCUAUCAUUUUGUACCUACUUCCACCAAACUAGGACAUGGCCUUUCAACUUAAGAGUGACAAAUUUGACUCUUUUAUCCUCAAAUAGUUCUUUCCAUUCAAAAAAUUGUUCUAUCUUGUCAAUCCAAUCCAACAACUCAUCAAGUUCUAACCUACCUUCGAACUCACCAACAUCUACUUUGAUACCCUAAUCCCAAGGUGCGGUGUUCAUUUGACGUUGGUUCAGACGGUUGCUCCUAAGAGGACGGUUGCUCCUAAGAGGACAGUUGGCUUCUAUCUCAGAGUCACUCUCUGAUUCAAUUAAUCCCCCUCCACCGGGCUGAUGUUGGGUAUUCAAAGCCUCUAACAUUUGUUGUAUUUGGUUCAGUUGGGUUUGCAUGUUUUUAAUAAACUCUAGUUGUCGUUCAUAGGCCUCUCUCCAAUCCUUAGGGUUUUCGGGGUGGUUAUUUGCCAUUCUAAUGUACUAACAACCUUGUGAUGGGGAGAUGGGGGCUUAAGAAGUCGUGGACAGCAGACAAUGGUGCCAAUUAGAGGGUUCUAAUUUCAGGACAGCAACAGAGUUUUCUAUGAAUUUUCUGGACAGCGAACAAAGGCUUGCAAAAAAAUAAAUUUUAACAGCAAAUAUGCAAUGAUGAUUGAAUAAGAUGCAACCUAAUAAAAGCUAAAUGCAAGCUAAAGUCAAUCCCUAAGGUCAGAACUUGCUCUGAUACCACUUGAUGCAUUUAAAGAGACACUAUAACACGGUAACACGGUAUUGAAGCAUGCUACUAUAGCAAUGCAGCAUAGGAGAGAAAAGAAGAAAAGAAACAAAAGAAAAAGAACGAAUGCAAAAUGUUGUAAAUCUAAAUACUAUAUGAUCUAUUCAAAUAAACUCUUAAAGACCAAUACUGGAACUAAAUAGAAAUCAGCAAUAUGUUCAAAUUUAUUAAAUAACAGUAAUGAAAGUUCCAUGACUGAGACAAACUUUCCAAGAUCAAUUACAUAUACUAGUUCCACCAUAAAAUACUAAGGAAUAGGUUCAUUCUAGGCUUAAAACUGAGUUCAGAUGGCUAGAUUUUAAUGAUAGGGUACGAGGCAACAUAAGAUAAGGUUAUGGGUGGAUCUGUUAUCUUGAGUGCGGGAAUAUAUUGAAGAGGUUCAAAUCUCAAUCGGUUCACAGGAUGCAGGGUAUCCACAACCAUCAAGGAGAGCAGCACCGCAAUGAUAGGCUUCAAGAUGGAGAAGAGGGAGCCAAGAGUCACAGGAAGAAAGAAGCCGAAGACAGACCCAUCUGCGAGGAAGAGGCGACGACGAUCCCAAAAGGAGGGAUUCAAGAUAGAAGCAUAGGUUAAAUCUUCCAAAGUUUUCUUCCUCCUUUUUUCUUCUUCCCAUGUCAGAUUUAUACAUGACGCCACCAGGUUGGAUAUGGUUGUUGGUUUGUUUUAAAAUGAUUGUAGGAUAAGAAUAUAUUUGAAUUGGUUUGUUGAGAUAUUGUUGUAGGUUUGUUUCGAGUGGUUGUAGGAUAAGGACAAAGUUUGCGAAACCGGCACCAGCGAUCGGAUCAACCAGCCGGCGGUACGGUUCAGCACACCCCUAUUUCGUUCCGAAUCGAAGCAAACCGACGAAGAAAAAUAGAGCCGAACCAGAGAAGAAAAAGAGAGAAAGAGAGAAAUAGAGAGAGGGAGGAAGAAAGAAAAAAGGGAGCGGGGUUCGCUGGAGGGGCCAUUGGAGGGCCUCUAGCGGGCCGCCGUGGCCUGCAGACGGUGUUUACGCCCCCUACAGCUCUACAGCGUGAAACAAGGGUGAUCCGCUUUUGUUUUUAUUUUUUUAAAAAAUAUUUUUUUAAAUGAAACCGGCACUGGGUUUGCCGGCAUCACUUAAGUGAAGCCGGCAAACCCCAUACCGGCUUCAUUUAUAUUUUUUAAAAAAAUACAGGAAAUAGGGGCGGAUCGUCCCUGUUUCACGUCGCGGAGCUGCGAGAGGCGUUUACGCCGCCUGAUGGCCACGACGGCUCGCCGAAGGCCCUCCGACGGCCCCUUCAGCAGACCCCCCUCCCUCUUUUUCUUCCUCUCUCUUUCUCUUCCCCUCUUUUCCUCUUUUUCUCUCUUUUCUUCCCCAACACCGGCGUAUGCCGUUUUCCAUGCCAGAACCAUCUCGGUUCCCCCUCGACACGGUUCGGCACACCCCAUACUGGACGGUUCGGCCCGAUACGGCAUUCCUUGGAUAAGGAUAUAUUUGAAUUAGUUUGUUGGGAUAUGAUUGUAGGUUUGUUUUGAGUGGUUGUAGGAUAAUGAUAUAUUUGAAGUAGUUUGUUGGGGUACAUUUGAUUUAGAAUAAAUUGUUGGUUUGAUUUGAUUUAGAAUAAC
rnacentral:lncRNA from 1 species